GCCAGCCUCACCUCCAGGAUAUCCAUGUUCUCCUUCACCCGGAUCUUGGCUGACUUGAGCUUCUCUCGUAGCAGUUUGUAGUAUGUCGACGGAAUGUUGAGGAAUUCCAUGCCUCUCUCUUUCAGGCGCUGGCUCGUUGAUGGGUAUCUUGAUGGACUCCUCAUAAUUGGUCAUCACGAUGGAACGCAGAGAGCUGUACUCCGUGUGCACCAUCUUGUCAUCCACGGACCAGAAACGGUGGAACUGCAGGUUAUUCAGGAGGGGCUGUAGCUGCAGACACCGAGGCACGGAAAGACGUGGCAGCGUGUUCCAGAUCACACCGGGUCCGACUCCAGUCCUUGCUCAUUUCAGUGCAGUCACGAAGAAGUGAAGUGAUUUGCUCAGUCAUACAGCUGGUGCGGGGUGGGGCUUCCCCAGACCUCAUACCUCUCUUCUUUCCAAGCCCCUGCCUGAAGCUUACCUCUCUGUACUGUCACCCCCCACUGGGGAGGAAGGGAAGCCCUUCAGGGUGGCUGGUGGCUCUCAUCAGCCUCUGUACACUGGCCAAGCAUUACGCUGGUCAGGCUUGAGGGAGAAGUCUGUGCUUCGAGGCACGAGGGUGGGAUGGCUUAAGGAGUCGGGGUGAGGGCUUCUCCGUGGGUGCCAACGGCGAGAGAGCGGAAGCAGCCAAGUUAACUCACCGUCUGCAGCACGGCAAACUUCACCUUCCCAAACUUAUCUUGCUCCACCCAGGGUUCCCGGAUGAUUUUGGCGCCUCUUUCCCGGGCUUUCUGCGGGGGGAGAUGGGGGUGGGAGGGGCGGUCAGGGCUGGACCCUCCCAGAGCUGCUGCCUGCUGCUCCUGGGUGAUCACCGCUCCGUGAGCCUGCUGCAGCCUCCUCCAGCCCCAGAUGAGGAAAUUGAGGCACAGAGAAGUUAAGUCACUUGCCCAAAGCCGCACAGCUAAUGAGAUCCAGACCCGGGCAGUCUGCCUCUGGAAUCUAUGCUCUGAACCUCAAAACUGCCUCCCCAGCCGUGGUCUCACCUGUACAAUGUAGUCACAGUCCUGCACCUCAAAGGCGACGUCCUUCACUCCGUCGCCGUGUUUCACCAGGGGUUGAGAGCAGAGGAGAAAAUGAACACAAUCUAAGACACAGAGGAGAAGAAGCACCCUGCCCUGGCGUCUUACCUGCUUGGCGUUGCCGACCCAGAAGGUCACGGAGUGGAAGUGGAGGAAUCGGCCUCUCUCGGGCUGCAGAGAGACAAGGAGUGAGGCCGAGGCCCUGGACGUGGGUUCAGACAAGUGCAGGUGGAGCCGCGUCCCCUAGCCACCUCCCUGGUCCCCAGUCUCAGCCCAGCACUGCACCCCCGCCCUACCCCACCAGCCCACAGCCUCUCCAAGCAGCGAAUCCGGUUUGUUGUGUUGAACUUGAGCUCCUAGCGGGUGGGGGUGGGGAAGCCCCCUCCGGAGACCUGCCCCGCUUUCCCGGAGAGAGACAGCCUUAUGCUGCAGCCACACGAAUCUCAGCCGGAUCUCGGGAAGGACUUCCAGACAGGUUUAAGAGACCGGCGGGAAUUUAAGAGGAGGUUGACGUUUUUUUUAGAGGGGGCGAGGGUUGAACCUAGCUCACUCGGGCGGGUGGGGGGCGGGCAGGAAUGAACUCGCGCGCACGUCCCGGGUGUCACAAACCCGCUGUACUUAUUUCUCUUCUGAUUUUUGCCGACAUCCCAGUCUUGCGGGGCCCCGAACCCACGUUUCUUCUUCUGCUUACCUUCUUUCCCUUGUCGCUGUACGACAUCUGAGGAGAAAGAAAAGGAUGGUAAGAUUCGAACGCUCAGACGCCAGGCGUUUCUGGAAGUCUCGCUUCCAGACGGAGCCCCCGGCCCCGGCGGAGGCAGCCACGCGGGCACGUACCAUGAUUGGUCUCGGUCAAACUUCCUGCCAGGGAGACUGGGAUGAGAGGCCAGGAGGGGUGCUGGACAGACUAUUUAACCCCCCGCAGGUCCCGCCUCUGGCCUCUUGGCCUUCCUCGGGGUGGGGUCUGAGUCGAGCACCUCACUCCUAGGCCUGGGAGCCUCUGAUCUCGCGGCAACCUCACUGAACGGGGCGAUGCAGGCCCAGAGAGGGGCGGGGGGUGAGGGUGAUGGCCCAAGGCCCUAGCCAGUGGCCUGGGCGAGGGGGUCAAAGGCACCCUAGUUCCAGGACUCUGAGCUGGGACUGCAACCUCUGCCCUUCAGAAGCCAAGGCCAGCCGGAAUGCGGCGCUUGCUCCAAAAUUCUUAUUUAGAGAGAAUUUAAGGGGAAAUGAGGGGCUGGUCUCGAAGCCCUGCUUGCAUGGCAAGUGUGUGGUUCAUAUUUAGGUAAAAGAGAUGUAUUCCAUCAUAUUCCACAGUGCUAGGAGGCACUGGUAUGGGGCUCGAGUCCUUUGUGGCUGGGGACCGUCACCGAACCCCUCUGAGCCUCAGUCUCCCCAUCUGUACAAUGGCAGCGAUAAUAGGGUGAUGGGGAUUAAGUGAGAUAAAGCAGAAAAGUCUUCGCAGGAGAAUCUGGCACACAGUAAGGUCUCUGUUACUGUUGGUCAUGAUCGAUUAUGUUUCUUUGGGGUUUAGGGGGCUGAUGGAGAAUGAGGGGGCCUUGGCACUGCCACAGCCUGAGUUUGGGGAAAGAGGUUAUGACUCUGCCCCUGGCCCAGGUUCUCAGUAUUUCCAGGGCUGGGGGCGAGGGCGGAGCAGGAAGGCGGGGGUUCUUGUUCCCAGCACCCCUGCACGUGAGUCCUCAGGUCUUGCUUUCCUGGAAGAUGGCGUGGUGACUGCCGGCCAGCUGUAGCAUUUACCUGAGGGCUCCAGGACAGUCUCCGGCCUCCAGCUCCGCCCCUGCCCCUAGAAACUCAGUGGCUGAGCCAUCUCACCUUCUUCCCAUGGAACUGACUUUAUCAACUCUCCUCAUCACCCGGGAACUCAGUCCCAAUGCUAGCCCUUGUGGCCCGUGACUGUGCUACGGCCCCCUACCCUCUUGCACGUUGACCCCCAAAAUGCCCUGUGUCAGCCUCUUAAAAAAUAUAUAUGGAAAGACAGAUGAUGGUGGCUAGUGCUGACCUCAAGGAUCAUUCGGGCCAACAGUUUGAUUUUUCAGAUGAGAAAAAUCGACAAAUAGCAAGAAGGUGCCGGAAGCUAUCUACCCCCCUCUUCCUUUCCUUCCCCCUUCCCAUUUCUCAUCCUCUGCACUGGGGUGCAGAGUUGGCUUAGAACAGGAAGGCGCCCCCUCCCUGCCUUUCUCAGCAAACCCAGCCAGCCCCGCAGGAAUCCCUCUCAGAACCCCCAGCCCCAGGUCUGAGGUUCGGCUAAGCCUUGCUAUGGGUCAGCUUCAGCCAGCAACCCUGGAGGUGGGGCCCAGGACGGCUAGAGAACAUUCCAGACCACGUAGAUAGCAAGCGGCUGAGUAGAACUAGAUUAUUCUAACUCCACGGCCCCCACUUUUCAUUGCUGCUUUGCCUUCUGUGUAUGUAGGAAAUGUUGAUAUUCGCUGGACAGAUGGGGAAACUGAGGCUCGGAGAGGGGAACACACGUCCGCGAGGUUUUGGAGUCGGGUUCCAUUCCAGCGGUGCAGACACCUUCUCCCUCCUUUUCUCUGGUUUCUGGGCAAAUCUGGAGGCUGGGCCCAGCUGAUGACAGGAUAGCAGUGACCGGGUGUCGCUGCCACUGCUCUUUGUUCCUGAACUGUCACCUUGUGCCCAAACUAGGAGCUGGGCUUGUGGAGGGCAUCCGCCGCCGUGCCCUGGCGUGCAGAAAUGCAGAAACGCAGCGGGCUGGAGGCCGCUGCUCGUCGCAGGGCCCGCUCGCGGGGCCGAGCCUUGGUUGGUAUCGGGGAACUUGAGUUCAGGCAGCUCAUGUCCCCCUGGGGCUACGCUGUCUGUACAAGCUCUGUGGUUGAUGCCCAACACCUGCUUCCCUCGGGAGUCUGGGUACAUGCUAUGCAGGAGGCGCCCCUGUGACCAGCCUCUCAUAAAGACCCUGGACGCUUCCCUGAGAGAUGUGUCACAGCCCCUCGAUGGAGGAGUUAAGCGCGUCCUGUGUGACCUUGCUGGGAGGGGCCCCUUGCAGCUCGCAUCUGGUUUCCUGCAGACCUACCCCAUGCCCUUUACGCUGGUCUGAUUCUGCUCUGUGUCCUUUUGCUGUAAAACAUCUUAGCCACAGGUAAGACUAUAUACGUGAGUCCUCUUGGCACACUGUCAAACCUGGGUGGGGGUGGACUUGGGGACCCGGCGGUGACAGCCAUGGGAUUCACGUGAUGAACCCUGACUCACUGAAAGAUGGCAGAAGCAUUGUUUGACGAAAGGUAGGAUGGAGGGACAAGGGAUCUUUUCCCUAAGAACUGAACGUGGGAUUCCUUGCUGUAUAAACCCUGGCCGUCUUCUUCCUUAGGACCGUGACCAAGGUGGCUUUGGCCCCGAGCUCCUUUCUGAAGACCUUGCCGAGGACUUGGUACCUGCCCAGGGACCAUGGGGAGGCCUGCGCGGCCGUCCAAACAGAUGACACACCUAUGCUGCCCAGGUGGCUGUGGAGCUCCUCGUGGUGCGAGGCAGUAGCCUGAGCUGCAGCCGAAUCUGCUGUGAGAGACGAAAUCCACCUCUGGGAUUUGACGGUGAAAGAGGCGCCCUCAGGGGAGGUGACGGGCUGGGGCCCCCGGCGGAUAUUGGCUGCGCUGGCUGAAACGGGGUGGGGGUGGGGGACACCCGGUGCCAGAUGCCUUUGGGUUUUGUUCUCUCUUCAAAACAGGAAGGAGAAAGAGUUCCGACAUUCCCAGAGCUGGGCUUGGGCUGGACCAAGCAUGUCGAAAGCUUGCAUUAUUCCCUCCUCUAAGUGAGAGGGAAAAGGUGGCAUCAGUUUCUAGAGCUGGAGCAAAGCUUUCCAGAAAUCGGAGGGGACAAAAGAGGGGCUGGGGGGUGGGGAGGUGCUCCGGCUGCCGCUGCCGCGGCCCCCUCACCCUAUAGAUGCUGAAUUUACUGCUAGGGGUUCAAGUCGACUCGCAAUGAAAAUAAAGGGGGAGGAAUUUAUUUUUAAACGGCUUUGUAUUUUGUGCUGUUGUAUCUGGCCGUAUGAUUAAAAUCGACGUAAAACGUGAUACGUUUGUAAUUGCAUAAGUGCUAGGGGGAUGGUUGCAAUUAGGGAGAAGUGGAAAAAAAAAAUGUCACCGGGACACGACACUCUUGGCAUUUUGCCACAUGGGCAGCUAGGAAUUUGAAUUCUUCAAGAACCGGAGUUAGAACAAGCCUCCGUAAUUGAUGAUUCUGACUAUGAUUUUUGCCUAUUGGAUCCUUUUGGGGAAAACAAAAACAAAAACAAAAAGCCUAGAAAAGAGAGGCCAUCUCUAAACAGAGAUACACUUUUGAGGUUUAAACCAAGCUGUUUUUCAUUGCUAAUGAGCUCUCGCGACACCCCAUGUCUGACCUUUAGGGACGGAUGCUUUUCCAUGAGGUCCAUGCACAUUUGUGAGGAGGUCAGCUUGGGCUCUAAGACCAACGUGACAAAAGGGCUUGGGAAGCCUCGCUCGUCUCUUGGACUUGGGACCCAGAGGUCUGGCGGCCCUGCAGCGUCUCAGCCUGGCUGCAGCAAAAGAGCUGCUGGUUCCCUGCCCCCGCCCUGGCUUUAUGGAGGACUAAUCGACAAAUAAAAUUUGAGUACGAAACAUGCCAGCAAUGCGAAGCGACUGGCUAGAAUUGAAAUCGAGAGAACCAGUUCAGCCUUACCACCUGGAACCUUCCGCGUGCGAGAGGCACCCCGGGUGUAGUGCCUGAACCCACUUCCUCCCCUCCUUGUCUAAUUGUCCUUCCGGUUCUGCAGCAAGUAAUAUUUACGCGAUUUGCAUCGUGAUUUAAAAAUGUGUACACACAGCUUGUCGAGGGUCAUACUUACUGAAGUGUAAUGUACACAGAGUGAGGUUGACUCUUUUCUGUUCCAUGCAUUUUGGAGACGUAAGCAUUUGUGUAACUCUUACCACGAUCAAGAUAUGAAGGAAUUCCAUUACCCUAAGCAUACCCACCCACCCAUCCUUUGUAGUGUGUCUUUGCGUAGUGUGUCUCUCUCCCAUCCCGAUCCCUGGAUAACGGCUGAUCUAUUUCUCAUCCCUGGAGUUUUGUCUUUUCCUGAGUAACACAGAUGACUCAGUCAGUAUGUGGCCUUUUGAGUCUGGCUGCUUUCACACACAUAAUGCCUUCGAGAGUCCUCCAUGGUGGUGUCUGUCUGCCGAUGUGUUCCUUCUGUUGCUGAGGCUUCUGCCCGGGUCUGUGAAUGCUUCUUGUGAACUUUUUACAAUCAGCUGACUGAUAAAGAAGACCGAGUCUCGAUUACAAAACGAUAGAAAAGCUUUGGAGAACAGACGCUGGGAGACAGAUUUCUUCAUUUUCCAAAGAAGAGGGUGUUUACCGUGCUCUCUUAAAGGUGACGCCUCCAGAAACCGAGGUGUUAGAAUUUUAUUUAAAGCGAUAAAGAGAAGCAACGGAAACCGGACUACGCUAUGUUACGUGGAAGCAGAAAUGGAAAGGGCCAGUCGAGGUGGGGAAAAGGCCUUGUCUUUCAAAAACAAAGGAAUGAAACGUCUUGGUCCUUCGUAAUGAGUGGAUAGUAGUUUGAGCUGAGUUUCUGGCAUUGACAACCACGAGUCUUGACUAAGAGGAGGCGGCUAACCACAACAACGCUCGUUAUGA